rnacentral:lncRNA from 1 species
CCUUUUUUCCUUUUUUUUUUUUUCCCGGGGAGUCGGCCUCGGGGCUCUGCUCUCCUACCUCAGUCUGCCCUACCCUGGAAUGGGGAAAAUGCGGACAUGCCACUCAGUCCGGCCGCGAACAGUGCUCCAGAACUCAGAGAGUUUUCCAGACGGGUGGAGAUCGCGUUCCCUGCCCGCCGAGGUCCCAUCGCUUCCCUGCUGGGAAGACAAAUGAGGCGCUUUAGCCGUCUCCACGGCCAGCCCCUCCCUCAUAACCCGAGAUUCUUUGUGGGCUCUUAGUCCAUAGCUGCCUUUGAGGUGGUGUAGACCUUGCUAACCAGGACGGCCCAGUAGGCAGAGCUCAUUUUUAUUCCUGUCUGCAAUCGUGCAAAAACGCCUCUUAUGGAAAAGCCAGAGCGCCAGGAGUCAGCAAAACACACUAAAGAUUGGGCAGUCACUGGGGAGAACAUGGCCUGAAGCAACUGAAGAUCCACAAAAGAAGUGAAAAUAGCCUUAACUGAUGACAUUCCACCAUUGAGAUUUGUUCCUGCCCCACCCUAACUGAUACGAUAUAUUCUCCCCCGCCCUUAAGAAGACUCAGCCCGCCUGCACCCAGGUGAAAUAUACAGCCUUGUUGCUCACACAAAGCCUGUUUGGUGGUUUCUUCACACGGAUGCAUGUGACAUUUGGUGCUGAAGACCCAGGACAGGAGGACUCCUUUGGGAGACCAGUGCCCUGUUGUCGCCCUCACUCCGUGAGGAGAUCCACCUAUGAUCUCAGGUCCUCAGACCAACCAGCCCAAGGAACAUCUUGCCAAUUUCAAAUCGGCUCUCCCCGAUCUGCCCAACAAUUUCCUGUUAAAGAGAUGGCUGACUAUCCUGACUUCAUCAGAGCAGGCUGGUGCCUGGCCUUCCUGGAAUGAGUGGGUGUUCUGACAGGCCCCCAGUUUGUCCCAUCUGCACCGCCAAGAGGUCUCCGGGUGGCCAGAGGAGCAAAGUUGCCUUCCAAGUGCCUGUUGGUGCCUGGGAGAACACAGCAGGAGUGUCGUGCGGCCCACAGCGCAGUGCAUGGUGAUUCCAGGCGCUGAACAACUCCCCUUGACCCUUGGGCCUGCAUCUGACUCCCGGCUGCAGAAUCAGAAGCUGAGUCCAGGCAACCGCUCGGCCACUCCCGGUCACUCCUCUCUGGACACCCAGUUACUAAAGUCAGCAAAGAAGAUGCGGUAAUCACCGCCUGAUCUCCACAUGGUGAACACAACACUCUCACUAACACCUCCUUGACCAGUCAGUCUUCAGCACUGGGGGUGGACAGGCAGGUUUUCUGUGUUUACCAGAAUCGCACAGGCUAAGCACAAACAUGGAACCAGAGUUCCAGGUGAGGAAACCUCACUCGCAGAAGCCCAGGCUGCACCCCACCAGGUGAUGCAGUGCGCCUAGGCUGUGGGUGCUAGGAGCCAAGUGCUAGGGACUCGUCAUGAGUGGGAAUCCCCACGUUCCUGUCACUGCUGUCAAACAGAAGGUAAACAGUCUUACGAAUGUAAUUCCUUAGGAAGACUUGUACAAACUUUUAUUAGGAUAUCUAUUUAUUUAAUACUGAACUUUGGCCUACUUUGUGAUAAGACUAUAAACAAAUUGAGGAAAUCACUAUUUCUCACUUCUGUAUUUCUCAAAAAAUAAUUUUGUUACAGAGUUCAAUAUACUGUGUACUACUGAUCUUCUAUUGUGAAAGCAAAGCAUUUCAUCAAAACAAAGUAUUUUAAAUUAUGAGUGAAAA